CCUACGGGUGGCAGCAGUGAGGAAUAUUGGUCAAUGGACGAGAGCCUGAACCAGCCAAGUAGCGUGAAGGAUGACUGCCCUACGGGUUGUAAACUUCUUUUAUAUGGGAAUAAAGUGAGCCACGUGUGCCUUUUUGUAUGUACCUUAUGAAUCAGGAUCGGCUAACUCCGUGCCAGCAGCCGCGGUAAUACGGAGGAUCCGAGCGUUAUCCGGAUUUAUGGGGUUUAAAGGGUGCGUAGGCGGCUGGAUAAGUUAGUUGUGAAAGCUGGAGGCUCAACCUUCGAAUUGCAUUUGAAACUGUCAGGCUAGAGAGCAGUAGAGGUAGGCGGAAUGUGUGGUGUAGCGGUGAAAUGCUUAGAUAUCAUGAAGAACACCGAUUGCGAAGGCAGUUUACUAGGCUGCUACUGACGCUGAGGCUCGAAAGUGUGGGUAUCAAACAGGAUUAGAUACCCCAGUAGUC
rnacentral:rRNA from 1 species